rnacentral:rRNA from 1 species
GCCCUAGUAACGGCGAGUGAAGCGGCAAGAGCUCAAAUUUGAAAGCUGGCCCCCUCGGGGUCCGCAUUGUAAUUUGCAGAGGAUGCUUCGGGAACGGCCCCCAUCUAAGUGCCCUGGAACGGGCCGUCAUAGAGGGUGAGAAUCCCGUCUGGGAUGGGGUGGCCGCGCCCGUGUGAAGCUCCUUCGACGAGUCGAGUUGUUUGGGAAUGCAGCUCUAAUUGGGUGGUAAAUUUCAUCUAAAGCUAAAUAUUGGCCGGAGACCGAUAGCGCACAAGUAGAGUGAUCGAAAGAUGAAAAGCACUUUGAAAAGAGAGUUAAACAGCACGUGAAAUUGUUGAAAGGGAAGCGCUUGCGACCAGACUCGCCCGCGGGGUUCAGCCGGCACUCGUGCCGGUGUACUUCCCCGCGGGCGGGCCAGCGUCGGUUUGGGCGGCCGGUCAAAGGCCUCUGGAAGGUAACGCCUCUCGGGGCGUCUUAUAGCCAGGGGUGCCAUGCGGCCUGCCCGGACCGAGGAACGCGCUUCGGCUCGGACGCUGGCAUAAUGGUCGUAAGCGACCCGUCUUGAAACACGGACCAAGGAGUCUAACAUCUACGCGAGUGUUCGGGUGUCAAACCCGUGCGCGCAGUGAAAGCGAACGGAGGUGGGAACCCCCCGGGGUGCACCAUCGACCGAUCCUGAUGUCUUCGGAUGGAUUUGAGUAAGAGCGUAGCUGUUGGGACCCGAAAGAUGGUGAACUAUGCCUGAAUAGGGCGAAGCCAGAGGAAACUCUGGUGGAGGCUCGCAGCGGUUCUGACGUGCAAAUCGAUCGUCAAAUUUGGGUAUAGGGGCGAAAGACUAA